rnacentral:rRNA from 1 species
CAGUACCUCAAGUGGUCAGGAUGAUUAUUGGGCCUAAAGCAUCCGUAGCCGGCGCUGUAAGUUUUCGGUUAAAUCUGUACGCUCAACGUACAGGCUGCCGGGAAUACUGCAGCGCUAGGGAGUGGGAGAGGUAGACGGUACUCGGUAGGAAGGGGUAAAAUCCUUUGAUCUAUUGAUGACCACCUGUGGCGAAGGCGGUCUACCAGAACACGUCCGACGGUGAGGGAUGAAAGCUGGGGGAGCAAACCGGAUUAGAUACCCGUGUAGUCC